rnacentral:tRNA from 1 species
GGUCCUUUAGCUCAGUUGGUUAGAGCAACGGUCUGUUAAAUCGUAGGUCGUGGGUUCAAGUCUCACAGGGACCGCCA